GGAGAGUUGACGAGAGUGACACCUGUGGGAAAUUCGCUCCGAAGAUCCGAGGGAGAUUUCGUAGGACUUCGGUGGCUACGUGAUAUCGCUUCUGUCUACGUUGUAUUUUUGGAAUCAGGUUUUAAUCCAAACUCACAAAGACUAGUAAUGAACUGUUCACGUCAGUAGACAAAAAA